rnacentral:rRNA from 1 species
AUGAACGCUGGCGGCGUGCCUCAUACAUGCAAGUCGAGCGAACAGACGAGGAGCUUGCUCCUCUGACGUUAGCGGCGGACGGGUGAGUAACCCGUGGAUAACCUACCUAUAAGACUGGGAUAACCUCGGGAAACCGGAGCUAAUACCGGAUAAUAUAUUUAACCGCAUGGUUCCAUAGUGAAAGACGGUUUUGCUGUCACUUAUAGAUGGAUCCGCGCCGCAUUAGCUAGUUGGUAAGGUAACGGCUUACCAAGGCAACGAUGCGUAGCCGACCUGAGAGGGUGAUCGGCCACACUGGAACUGAGACACGGUCCAGACUCCUACGGGAGGCAGCAGUAGGGAAUCUUCCGCAAUGGGCGAAAGCUUGACGGAGCAACGCCGCGUGAGUGAUGAAGGUCUUCGGAUCGUAAAACUCUGUUAUUAGGGAAGAACAAAUGUGUAAGUAACUAUGCACGUCUUGACGGUACCUAAUCAGAAAGCCACGGCUAACUACGUG